UAGAUGGCCAUCUAUGCAGAGGAAGAAUAAAGUUCUUCCAGAAGAUACUGGCAAGACACGUAGGUGGAACGUGACCACAACAACGUGCCAAGAAGGCUCCCGCUAUAACGAAUGAACACAUAAGCGUUUCUCAUGUCUCCUCCAGCUUCUUUCCCGGCAGGUCCCAGCAGCAGCCGCAGCACAGCACUGCGUCGGCUCCCUUGGAAAAAACCUCAGAGACAAAUAAGUUUCUACAAGAUCUGCAAACUGAAAUGGAGUGAAGCCUCGGAACGAGGCCAAACAAAGAAAAUGGGUCGUUAUUAAUCCACUCUAAGGCGGAGACACACACACCCACACUCACACCCACAUACCCCAGCGAAAUUGGAAAGAGGUAAGGUGAGAAUAUUCCCCUGAUAGCAGAAGAAAAGGGUAAAUGAAAGCAAAACGGAGGUACUUGGAGAAAAGAGGUUUGAGCUUCUCCUGGCAGCAGAACCCCCAUCUCUCCGUGACGGAAGCACCGAGGAGCCGAAGCAGAGUUGUAAGGUUAAAAUGGAAGAAGGAAGAGCAGCCUCCCACUUCCUGCCUGAUUCUAGGAAUAUAGAUCUGAAACAGCUGACAUGCUGAUUUCUCCAGAACAGCAAACACAACCAGUCCAUGGAACUAAUUAUUUUAAUGCAUUUGAAAUCCUUGAAGAUUUGGAAUAUUUUCUUCCAAGAAACAUGCAACUUUCUCUUCACAGGUCAACUGAGUUUCUGCAAAAUAUGUGCUGUUUUGAAGCCCUUUUUCUUCAAGAGAUGCUGAGAUCUGUGGUGUCACAAACCUGUUUCCCCAGCUGCUCACCUGGAGCUGCCUCUGGCCACUUGCCUCAGUGGACCUGCCUGAUGUGCCAGUGGGAGUGAUCACUUUUGGAAGCCAUCAGUAACUGUUGCUAUAUCUGCAUUGUUCUGCAGCCAGUGCCAGGUUUGUGGCCAGCUGGAAAAACCAGUAACAUCCUCUGCUGCAGCUGGACUGCUGUUCAUUCAAGUGCUGCUCUGGAAUGGAUACCCAAUGUUAGCAGCUGGAUUGUGAACCUCUGUUUAAUAAUGGAGGGAAUGUUAAGUGUGUGUUUUUUAGAAAAUAACUCAAUAGGCUUGGACCUUUUUGUUUAAUCUUAUGCUCUCUUUGCAAGAAAAAGAAUUUUAAAAGUUGAAAAGUCUGUUGAAUUUCUGAAAGUUUAUUACUUGAUAGCAAAGACCCCUUUUAAUCUGAAAAUAGGGAAGAAGAGAGAUCUUAAUGCACAUGCAGUGCUAUAAUGCCUAUGUCUUGAAAUAUGACAUUUUCUUAUAUAAAUGGAAGAUUUGUUGUUUUGCAGCUGUUGCUGUUGAUUGACUUAGCAGUUUUUUUGGGUGGGAACUAUCCAUUUCAGUGUGGAAUCUGGGACACACUGACAAAAUAUUGGUAAUUAUGCAAAUUACUUUUUUUUUCUGAGGCAAGAAAAAUGAGCUGCAGCAACAGGAAACUCCAAUAGUGCCGCCAAGAAAGCACAUAGAUCCUUGCAGAUGACAAAUUAAAAAAAAAAAAAAAAAACAAAAAUAAAAAAUUGUAUUUCUGUGAUUAAAAAAUUCACACAAAUUCUAUUUUUGGAAGCUGUUAGCCAGCUUUGAUGCAAGAAAAGGAAUCUUUCUUACCAGCUUUUUAUGUCUUCACAGCAUGCAUUCCAGAAGGUCUAAUAUAUAUGACCUGAAACAGAGUUGAAGAGAAGUGCUGGAGCCUAAGGCUUCACCAAUGAAACUGACAAGCAGGUUCACCAGAAGACAGCUGGAAUUGACAAACGAAUUGACUUUUUAGUGAGUUUUCCUCUAAGAAGCACUCUAAGAGUUGACAUGGACUAUGGUUCAGGACAUUUACACCAGCAGUAAAUUCAGUAGUGAAUUUAGUUUGUUGAUAAUAAUGUUCAGUUUGGAGAUCAGCUCCAAAUCCAUCAUUUUCUCAUUUGCCACUAUAGGAAAGUAGAUAAACUUGAUACACUUUAUGUUGUGCAAAUAGUAAAAAUCUUAAAGACUUCCUUAAUUGAUGGCCUAAAAGCUAUGAAGAAAACUUUUACAUUAUAAUUCCUCUCUUACAUUAUAAUAACAGGAAGUCAAAAAAACCAAUGUCAGAUUUGGAUUUCAUGAACUGAUUUUCCCCAGCCAUAUUACAUAAAUUUGAAUUUGUUUUUCCAGCUCCUCGAGCAUGAUAUCUCUUUGGAUAACUUUAAGUGUUAUGAAAUACAGAAGGGACUCAGGAGAAAUCUAUAGGCCAAGUUCUGCCGUGAGGUAUGGUGAUGUGAGAACCGUUUCUUAAAGUGUCUGGAUCCCAGCUCAGUGGGGAUUCAGAAGGGCUUGGAUGGCUUUACUGCUACUGAAGAUUGUCUCCUUUUGCUCCUGUAAAACCAUUAUAAGGUGUUAUUGUUUAACAGCAUCCCAAAUGCCUGGGAGUAAAUGUUGCAAAUACUGGGAGCAUACACAUAAUUUUUCUUACCUUGUGUGCCUUUGUCUUCUGCGGCUGUAUCCAGGUCUUUAAGUACUCUCUAUAGUCUUUUUUCUUUUUUUCAUGAGAGAGAAUCCUAAAUCCUUCUCCUACCCUUUGACUUAUAAAAGUACUACAGAGGUGAAUAUUUUGCUUUCAUUUCAUUUAAGAGGAAAAGUUCUUUGUCUGCAUUUUGCACUAUGAAAUUUUUUGACCUCAAAGCAAGAGAUCAGGCAAGCACAUGUAAAACAUACUGAUGCUCUAUAAAACACAAAGAGAAAAGAGUGACAAAUGGAGAUCUGAUUAGCCAAAAUGAAAUAAUGUGUGGUUUUCUUGGGGAAAUAAUAGUGAGCACUGUCUGCAUAAUUAUUAGGAGAAUUAAAGAAAAAAAAAAUUUUAUAUAUAUACUUUGUUCCAGUAUAGCUGUAUAUACUUUAUAUCCAGUAUAGAUAUUUGCCAUAGGAAUACUUAGAACAUACUGGUUGAAUACACAUUCUGAUCCUCAGCAACUAUGUGCAUUAAGAGUUGGUGGCUUUCUGCAAAUAAACCCAUUAACAAAAUAAAUCCAUGUUUACUAGCUACAGUGUACCUAUUUUAUAUGAACAGAUCUCUUAACUGUCCUAUUUAUGCAAUGUGUGCUAUUAAUUAAAAAAAAGGCAGUGCAUACAUGCUGGUUUAUGGCACAUGGCUUGAGAGCAGCACAUUUAUCAUGUCACUAGAUGAUCAGCUGCCCAAAAUUUGCCCACAUCCUCUUAUCUGCUUAUGUGUCAACAAUAUGCUUAUCCUGGUUGUCUAGAGUUCAAUGAAAUCAGUCAAGUUUCCAGGGAGUAUGGCACAGUAUGUCUGCUAUGAGAAGACUGAAAGGGAAUUUGGGUACAGUGAAAGGAGGUGAAUGAAUACUUUUAAACUUUCUAAGACAUUCAAGCGUUCAAGCCUUUUAAUGUCAACAAAAUACCCUAAUUACUUAAACAAAAGGACCUGGAGAUAAGAGAAGAACUCAGACGCUGGGUAGCAUCUAAAACAUGGAGCUGCCUAACAAGGUUAAUAUUUUUUAUGUGUGCUCCAUCUUACUCAGUAUAAAUAUCUUAUCUAUAGUAAUAUUGUUUGUCACAAAACUAAUGAACCUGUUAAAACUCAGGAAAACCAUGUGAUACAUGGAACUGCUAAGACAUAUUUAAUAAAACCUGUACAUUCCAAUAAUGAGAAA